rnacentral:tRNA from 1 species
GGGCGCGUGGUGAAAUUGGUAUACACGCUAGCUUUAGGAGCUAGUGGAGCAAUCCGUGGAGGUUCGAGUCCUCUCGCGCCCA